ACCCUAACUAUAAUAUAACUCUUUCAAUCUGCAGUUAAUCACCCAGGCUUAAUAUAAGAUCACGAUUAUAACUACUUUUGAUCACAUAGAGCAGCAGUCGGCAAUAGAAUUUGCUGACGGAUUAAAAGUUAAAACUGAAUCUACGUCCUUAGUAAUGUCAUAGGAUUCUAAGCGGACAAAAUGGGCCUCAAUGUCAACACUUACUUAAAAUGUGAUGCCAAACUUGACAGAAGUGCAAUUUCAGCAGUUUCAAUGCUUCAUCAUUUUUGGAUCUUAUACAAAUCUUGGAGCCUGAAAUUUUUAAAGGCAAAUAGAAAAAAAGGCAAUAGUAACUCCUGUAUAUUUUAGUUUAAACAUAUUUAAUUAUUGCCUCUUUCAUUACUAAUUUGUUGGUAGUUAUCUAAUUUAUAAUAUUUAGCAAGAAACGCUACUAGUGAAUUGAGUAGGGGUAAUUCCUUUUAAAUUUUAUUGCAUUUGCUACACCCUGUAUAAACUCUAUUUCGCAAACUUUCCUAUUCCUCCAACAAAGUUUCUCAUUAAAAUAAGUUUAUACAUGGAAUUUGGAAGAAUUUUUAUAUUAUAUUUAAUAUUAUACGAACAAGCAUUUAUAACUGUUAAUUUUGAUUGUAUAAAUUGUGGAUUUUUUUUUCUCUAUAAUAUAGUAAUGCAUUUGUGAAUUUCUUAUAUUUUUUUUUGUUGUUAUAAAGAUUACUUGUUUCUAUUUCAUUGCUAAUUUGUUAAUAGUUAUUUAA